rnacentral:pre_miRNA from 2 species
UCAUUCUUCAAAGUGGCUGCGAAAUGUUUUCUCUUUUUUCGAAAUAAAAAAGUUCUAUACCACAUGAAUUCUUUUUUAAUAUUCAUAUCACAGUCAGCUUUGAGGAGCGUCA